CGGGGUGUGGCGCAGUCUGGUAGCGCUCGCGGUUUGGGACCGCGCGGUCGCCCGUUCGAAUCGGGCCACCCCGA
rnacentral:tRNA from 1 species